rnacentral:lncRNA from 1 species
GACUGCUAGUGUAAUCACUGUUGUUUGGUAUACCUUUUGGUAAUCCUGGUUUAGUUAUAUUGUCAAUUUUCAAAUUUUAAACUUCAAAUGUCAUAAUGUCAAUUAUCAAUUUGCAGAUAUUUCCUGUUUCCUUUCUUUCUAGUUGCUACCACGCCACUAGUAAGUGCCAUGCAUGGCCGUUAAAAUAAAAUUUAAAAUUUCAAAUCCUCUAAAUGUUAUUUCUGAAUAAAGUUUAUAUAUAUAUUUUCUUUAAACCAUAAAAAUUUUAAUGUGUGACACUUUUCUACAUAAUGAAAAGGACUUUUUUGUGUUUCUCAGUGAAAUUUUCGACUUUUUAAUAUAACCUCAAGUUAAUGUCUUGAUAAAGGGAAUAAACAUUCUCGAAAGCUCGACCAUA